rnacentral:rRNA from 1 species
UACGUAGGGGGCGAGCGUUAAUCGGAAUCAUUGGGCGUAAAGCGCGUGUAGGCGGCUUGGUAAGUCUGGUGUGAAAACUUGGGGCUCAACCCCAAGCGGGCACUGGAUACUGCCUCGCUCGAGUCCGGGAGAGGAGAGCGGAACUCCCAGUGUAGCGGUGAAAUGCGCAGAUAUUGGGAAGAACACCGGUGGCGAAGGCGGCUCUCUGGAACGGUACUGACGCUGAGACGCGAAAGCGUGGGGAGCGAACAGG